rnacentral:ncRNA from 1 species
UUCAUCCAGAGCAGUCGAGGGAGUGGCCCUAUGACACUGCGGCAACCCCCACCCGGGAAGGUGCUAACUCCAACGGAAGGUAAUUCCGGCAGAUGA